rnacentral:rRNA from 1 species
GACGAACGCUGGCGGCGUGCUUAACACAUGCAAGUCGAACGAAGAGCGAUGGAAGCUUGCUUCUAUCAAUCUUAGUGGCGAACGGGUGAGUAACGCGUAAUCAACCUGCCCUUCAGAGGGGGACAACAGUUGGAAACGACUGCUAAUACCGCAUACGAUCUAAUCUCGGCAUCGAGGAUAGAUGAAAGGUGGCCUCUACAUGUAAGCUAUCACUGAAGGAGGGGAUUGCGUCUGAUUAGCUAGUUGGAGGGGUAACGGCCCACCAAGGCGAUGAUCAGUAGCCGGUCUGAGAGGAUGAACGGCCACAUUGGGACUGAGACACGGCCCAGACUCCUACGGAAGGCAGCAGUGGGGAAUCUUCCGCAAUGGACGAAAGUCUGACGGAGCAACGCCGCGUGAGUGAUGACGGCCUUCGGGUUGUAAAGCUCUGUUAAUCGGGACGAAAGGCCUUCUUGCGAAUAGGGAGAAGGAUUGACGGUACCGGAAUAGAAAGCCACGGCUAACUACGUG